CCUACGGGGGGCAGCAGUGGGGAAUAUUGCACAAUGGGGGAAACCCUGAUGCAGCGACGCCGCGUGAGUGAAGAAGUAAUUCGUUACGUAAAGCUCUAUCAGCAGGGAAGAAACACUGACCUUACGGUCAGCAGACGGUACCUGAGUAAGAAGCCCCGGCUAACUACGUGCCAGCAGCCGCGGUAAGACGUAGGGGGCCAGCGUUAUCCGGAUUUACUGGGUGUAACGGGAGCGUAGACGGUGCGGCAAGUCUGGAGUGAAAGGUCUCAGCUUAACUGCGGAAUUGCAUGGGAAACUGGCGAACUAGAGUGCAGGAGGGGUAAGCGGAAUUCCUAGUGUAGCGGUGAAAUGCGUAGAUAUCAGGAGGAACACCGGUGGCGAAGGCAGCUUACUGGACCGUAACUGACGUUGAGGCUCGAAAGCGUGGGGAGCAAACAGGAUUAGAUACCCCAGUAGUC
rnacentral:rRNA from 1 species